CCCCCGUGCCCUUCUUGUGAAAUUGUAGCCAGAUCAACCUUCUGAACUUCUGCAUUCCCAAGAUAGCAAUGAAGUAUGCAAGAAGCCAAUUGUCUCUGCCCAGAUCUAGGACUCCCNNNNUACCCGGUAUCCUGGUUUCUUUAAUGAUGCAAAAGAUAAACUUCCAGACAAACCAAUGCUCAUACCCCUGUUACACACCACUGAAGGUUUAAGCAUCACUCUAUCAUCAUCAUUUUCAUCAGCAAAGGCAUCAACACCAGAAUAGGUGCCCUCUCCACUUAAUAUUCCAGUAGAUGAAAGCCUUUUCUGUAUUUCCUUGGCAAGUUCUGCUUCUUGAAGUAAAUUAUCAACAUGAGACCACCACUGAUUAGUAGGGAGAUUCUUCAUCGCUAAAGAAGAAAUUAUCACUCUUUUAACCAUCACAGCAGCUUCAGAAAGGGGUGGAGGCAACCAGAGCCGUUCAUCAAGAUAGAGAGAAACAAGCAACUGGGAUAAUGGCUGCAAUAAACAAGGAAUAAGGUGGGUAGGAAGAGGAGAAGACACCAAAUCAUGAGCAGCUAUUCCAGCUUCUCUACGAGAGCAGGGAGGUGAGGCACAUGCUAAGGCCUCUAACCAGUCUCUCUCUUCAACUGCAAAAUCUGGAAGAGGAACACGUUUAGCACCAGGAGCUUUCUCUCCAGCAGCAGAUAAAAUUUCUUGCAAAGGGAAAUUUCUCUUCAGUGCAAUUAUGGCAGCUUGAG
rnacentral:misc_RNA from 1 species